UUUUAAUGAGAGUUUGAUCCUGGCUCAGGACGAACGCUGGCGGCGUGCCUAAUACAUGCAAGUAGAACGCUGAGGUUUGGUGUUUACACUAGCCUGAUGAGUUGCGAACGGGUGAGUAACGCGUAGGUAACCUGCCUCAUAGCGGGGGAUAACUAUUGGAAACGAUAGCUAAUACCGCAUAAGAGUAAUUAACACAUGUUAGUUAUUUAAAAGGAGCAAUUG
rnacentral:rRNA from 1 species